UACGAAGGGACCUAGCGUAGUUCGGAAUUACUGGGCUUAAAGAGUUCGUAGGUGGUUGAAAAAGUUAGUGGUGAAAUCCCAGAGCUUAACUCUGGAACUGCCAUUAAAACUUUUCAGCUAGAGUAUGAUAGAGGAAAGCAGAAUUUCUAGUGUAGAGGUGAAAUUCGUAGAUAUUAGAAAGAAUACCAAUUGCGAAGGCAGCUUUCUGGAUCAUUACUGACACUGAGGAACGAAAGCAUGGGUAGCGAAGAGGAUUAGAUACCCUCGUAGUCCAUGCCGUAAACGAUGUGUGUUAGACGUUGGAAAUUUAUUUUCAGUGUCGCAGCGAAAGCGAUAAACACACCGCCUGGGGAGUACGACCGCAAGGUUAAAACUCAAAUGAAUUGACGGGGACCCGCACAAGUAGUGGAGCAUGUGGUUUAAUUCGAAGCAACGCGCAGAACCUUACCAACCCUUGACAUGUUCGUCGCGAGACUAAGAAAUUAGUCUCUUCGGUUCGGCCGGACGAAACACAGGUGCUGCAUGGCUGUCGUCAGCUCGUGUCGUGAGAUGUUGGGUUAAGUCCCGCAACGAGCGCAACCCUCACUUUUAGUUGCCAUCAUUAAGUUGGGCACUCUGAAAGAACUGCCAGUGAUAAGCUGGAGGAAGGUGGGGAUGACGUCAAGUCCUCAUGGCCCUUACGUGUUGGGCUACACGCGUGCUACAAUGGUAUCUACAACAGGAAGCAAGACUGCGAGGUCAAGCAAAUCCUUAAAAGAUACCUCAGUUCGGAUUGCACUCUGCAACUCGAGUGCAUGAAGCUGGAAUUACUAGUAAUCGUGGAUCAGCGUGCCACGGUGAAUGCGUUCCCGGGUCU
rnacentral:rRNA from 1 species